rnacentral:tRNA from 1 species
GGGGAUGAGAAGCUGAGGUAGCGGGCGCGCCCUGCAAGCGCCGCCGACCCGGUUCGAUUCCGGGCAUCUCCACCA